AUAACGACUUUUGGCAACGGAAAUUUGGCUCUCGCAUUGGUGAAGAACGGAAGGAAAUUCGGUACCUGGUUUGAAAUGCCGAAUCCCGUGAACCAUCGAAUUCUUGAAACCAAAUUGGCCCCGAAACCUUUGGUUGAAGGGAAGGUUGCCUGGGUGUUACA
rnacentral:rRNA from 1 species